UACGUAGGGGGCUAGCGUUGUCCGGAUUUAUUGGGCGUAAAGAGCGUGUAGGCGGCCAGGUAGGUCUGCUGUGAAAACUCGAGGCUUAACCUCGAGACGUCGGCGGAAACCAUCUGGCUAGAGUCCGGAAGAGGAGAGUGGAAUUCCUGGUGUAGCAGUGAAAUGCGCAGAUAUCAGGAAGAACACCCGUGGCGAAGGCGGCUCUCUGGGACGGUACUGACGCUGAGACGCGAAAGCGUGGGGAGCGAACAGG
rnacentral:rRNA from 1 species